GGAAUAUUGCACAAUGGGGGAAACCCUGAUGCAGCGACGCCGCGUGAGUGAAGAAGUAUUUCGGUACGUAAAGCUCUAUCAGCAGGGAAGAAAAAAAGUCCUUUGGACUUUGGACGGUACCUGACCAAGAAGCCCCGGCUAACUACGUGCCAGCAGCAGCGGUAAUACGUAGGGGGCAAGCGUUAUCCGGAUUUACUGGGUGUAAAGGGAGCGUAGACGGCUGUGCAAGUCAGAAGUGAAAGCCCGGGGCUCAACCGCGGGACUGCUUUUGAAACUGUGUAGCUAGAGUGCAGGAGAGGUAAGUGGAAUUCCUAGUGUAGCGGUGAAAUGCGUAGAUAUUAGGAGGAACACCGGUGGCGAAGGCGGCUUACUGGACUGUAACUGACGUUGAGGCUCGAAAGCGUGGGGAGCAAACAG
rnacentral:rRNA from 1 species